GACGAAGGUGGCAAGCGUUGUUCGGAUUCACUGGGCAUAAAGGGCGCGUAGGCGGUCUCGUAAGCGACAUGUGAAAGCCCCCGGCUCAACCGGGGAAGUGCAUGCCGGACUGCGAUUCUUGAGGGUGGUAGGGGGGACUGGAACUCUCGGUGGAGCGGUGAAAUGCGUAGAUAUCGAGAGGAACACCGGUGGCGAAGGCGAGUCCCUGGUCCACUUCUGACGCUGAGGCGCGAAAGCGUGGGUAGCAAACAGG
rnacentral:rRNA from 1 species